rnacentral:tRNA from 1 species
UGGUCGUCUGGGCGACGUACGCGCUGGUGCGCGCCGUCGGCGCGCGGCGGCGGCGCGGGCCGUGGGUCGCCUACGCGGCGAUCAU